rnacentral:lncRNA from 1 species
ACCCAGCCCGGAUGAAGACUUCUCCACCCAGCCACCCCACUCCCUUAGUCUUCCCAGGUUACAGACUCUACCCCUCCCCUCAGCGAGGCCACUUCUAGUUAUGGAUAAAAUCGCAUACUACAGUAGGUAGGGUGGAUACACAGAUAGUCCUGUACAACACCUAUACAAACUGUCUCAAUUCAUUAACAAACAAACGAACUACCGAGGGACGAGAGGUCAUGUGACCAGCUACUUCAAGUUCCUGUUGCCCAGACUUCCUUCCAUGAUCAACUGUACCUUGAACUAUGAGUAUACGUAAAUGACUCUUGAAA